GCUGAAUGCGCGCGCAGCUCUUGCCGCGCGUGCGCAUUCAGCCGACAGGGAGGAGAGAAGGAGGAUCGGAGGAGGAGAGCUCUCCGCCCAGCGCUGGAAAAAGGUAAGUUUAACCCCUUUUCCCCUUUCCAGAGCCGGGCGGGAGGGGGUCCCUGAGGGUGGGGGCACCCUCAGGGCACUAUAGUGCCAGGAAAACGAGUAUGUUUUCCUGGCACUAUAGUGGUCCUUUAAAGUGCAUACAAAUAUUUAGAGCAGCUGCAUCCACUUACAAUUACCGACAAAGUGUUCAAAAGCUUUUAUAACCAUACAAAAGUGUUGCACCUAAAAUAUGCAAGUUAAAAGAAAUUAUCAAUACUUAUGUAUACAGUAACAAGAUCUGUUGUACAAACAGUUUUCUUAAAUAUCUGAAAAAUAAAGAAAUACUUCAUAAA